rnacentral:rRNA from 1 species
AGCGAACGCUGGCGGCAGGCUUAACACAUGCGAGUCGAGCGGGCAUCCUUGUGGUGUCCGCGGCAGACGGGUGAGUAACGCGUGGGAACGUGCCCUUCGGUUCGGAAUAACUCAGGGAAACUUGAGCUAAUACCGGAUACGCCCUUUUGGGGAAAGGUUUACUGCCGAAGGAUCGGCCCGCGUCUGAUUAGCUAGUUGGUGAGGUUAUGGCUCACCAAGGCGACGAUCAGUAGCUGGUCUGAGAGGAUGAUCAGCCACACUGGGACUGAGACACGGCCCAGACUCCUACGGGAGGCAGCAGUGGGGAAUAUUGGACAAUGGGGGCAACCCUGAUCCAGCCAUGCCGCGUGAGUGAUGACGGCCUUAGGGUUGUAAAGCUCUUUUCUCCGGGACGAUAAUGACGGUACCGGAGGAAUAAGCCCCGGCUAACUUCGUG